CCUACGGGGGGCAGCAGUGGGGAAUAUUGCACAAUGGGGGGAACCCUGAUGCAGCAACGCCGCGUGUGUGAAGAAGUACUCCGGUAUGUAAAGCCCUGUCAGCAGGGAAGAAAAUGACGGUACCUGAACAAGAAGCCCCGGCUAACUACGUGCCAGCAGCCGCGGUAAUACGUAGGGGGCAAGCGUUAUCCGGAUUUACUGGGUGUAAAGGGAGCGUAGACGGCAAGGCAAGUCUGGAGUGAAAGCCCGUGGCUCAACCACGGGACUGCUUUGGAAACUGUGUUGCUGGAGUGCAGGAGGGGUAAGCGGAAUUCCUAGUGUAGCGGUGAAAUGCGUAGAUAUUAGGAGGAACACCGGUGGCGAAGGCGGCUCACUGGACUGUAACUGACGUUGAGGCUCGAAGGCGUGGGGAGCAAACAGGAUUAGAUACCCCAGUAGUC
rnacentral:rRNA from 1 species